AUGGCCACCGGCCGUCCAUGGUCGCCGCCGCAAGGAUCUGCUCGCCUCCGCUGCCUCCGCGCCAUCCCUGUCGCCGGAGGAUGCAGCCCCGCCGCUUCCAAGUCCUCUGCUUCGCCCGUGGUCGAGCGAGACGACCAUAAACGCAGCCGCGUUGACCGCCCGCUCGCCAGCGCCUUUCUGCCUCGCUGGCAAGGCCCAGCCUGCUCCAGCUCCUCAUCCGGCAUGCCAGGCCUCUCCACCAGCUGGGCCGAGGCCCAUGGUGAGAACCUCCCCCAGCGCCCAUGUCCUGUUUCAGCCUGUGCUCUAAUUCAGCCCGCAUGUGUUUUUUUUACUGCUGCGAAUUUAACAUUAUCCAUUGUAUUACUGAUUUACAGAAAACCCCUCCAUGUUCAUGCAUAUAAUAACUCAUUAUCCGUGCGUCAUAUGUAA
rnacentral:rRNA from 1 species